rnacentral:lncRNA from 1 species
GCAGCACACUGCAUGGCAGUAAUAUAUAUGAAAUUGAAAUUAGUUUGUACUCUACAAUUUUCUAUACUUUUUAACAUCCAAAAUACCAACUCUUGUGUAUUCAUUUCUUCUUAAAUAUUGUUUGUACUUCGUGAUCAUAAUGCAGAGAUAAAGUACGAACUGCGAUAUAGACUUCAAAUUCUUCGACGUCCAGGUUUUCUUCAUGGAUACACAACACAAACAACACUAAAAGGCUUCAUUUUAUCCUGGAGGCAUAUUUGCAUUCCCUUGUGAAUCAAAGAUUUGUAGGGACAAAUAACAUCUUGAGGGAAGUGAUAUUAUUUUAAGUUCGAGUUUCUGCCAUAAUCCAACUUCUAGUCGUCUACUUAUCAUCUCAAGAUUAAUCCCAUCAACAAUCUUCAGACAUAAUUUCAAGUUUUCUAUGGCACGUCCAAUGUUUUAGUUAUGAGAUUUUGCAGCAGACUUUGUCAAAUUGGAAAGGUUUGAAGAUUCAAAUUUUCGAAUAUGGCAAAAAAAACUUCACUUCCUUCUCACAAUCCUCAACGUGGUGUAAUAGCUUACAACUCCAAAGCCAGAAGAGACAAAAAAUGAACCAUUGGAGAUACAAGACCUAGACAAAAAUGAGAUCAAGAUGAUUACAUAUGCGAGGGUCACAUUUAACAUGCAAUGUCUCAUAAUUCUCUUUUUGAUCAGUACCACAAGAAGAAAAUCGCCAAGGAAAUAUGGGAAGCAUUGGAAGCCAAAUGCAUGUUGGAGGAUAUUAC